GAAAUGCGAUAAGUAAUGUGAAUUGCAGAAUUCCGUGAAUCAUCGAAUCUUUGAACGCACAUUGCGCCCUCUGGUAUUCCGGGGGGCAUGCCUGUCCGAGCGUCAUUGCGAACCCCUCAAGCACGGCUUGUGUGAUGGGCCCUCCCGCGUCUUGGUCGUCAAGACGGGCCCGAAAAGCAGUGGCGGCUUCGCGGUUAUCCGAUCAGCCAGAGCGUAUGGGGACUUUCUCUCUGUCACACGCCCGCGGCGCGGACCGACGCCUGUCGACCUUUCUUCAUCUUUUUCUCGGUUGACCUCGGAUCAGGUAGGGAUACCCGCUGAACUUAAGC
rnacentral:misc_RNA from 1 species